UUAAAUUGAAGAGUUUGAUCAUGGCUCAGAUUGAACGCUGGCGGCAGGCCUAACACAUGCAAGUCGAACGGUAACAGGAAGCAGCUUGCUGCUUCGCUGACGAGUGGCGGACGGGUGAGUAAUGUCUGGGAAACUGCCUGAUGGAGGGGGAUAACUACUGGAAACGGUGGCUAAUACCGCAUAACGUCGCAAGACCAAAGAGGGGGACCUUCGGGCCUCUUGCCAUCAGAUGUGCCCAGAUGGGAUUAGCUAGUUGGUGAGGUAACGGCUCACCAAGGCGACGAUCCCUAGCUGGUCUGAGAGGAUGACCAGCCACACUGGAACUGAGACACGGUCCAGACUCCUACGGGAGGCAGCAGUGGGGAAUAUUGCACAAUGGGCGCAAGCCUGAUGCAGCCAUGCCGCGUGUAUGAAGAAGGCCUUCGGGUUGUAAAGUACUUUCAGCGGGGAGGAAGGUGUUGUGGUUAAUAACCGCAGCAAUUGACGUUACCCGCAGAAGAAGCACCGGCUAACUCCGUGCCAGCAGCCGCGGUAAUACGGAGGGUGCAAGCGUUAAUCGGAAUUACUGGGCGUAAAGCGCACGCAGGCGGUCUGUCAAGUCGGAUGUGAAAUCCCCGGGCUCAACCUGGGAACUGCAUUCGAAACUGGCAGGCUUGAGUCUUGUAGAGGGGGGUAGAAUUCCAGGUGUAGCGGUGAAAUGCGUAGAGAUCUGGAGGAAUACCGGUGGCGAAGGCGGCCCCCUGGACAAAGACUGACGCUCAGGUGCGAAAGCGUGGGGAGCAAACAGGAUUAGAUACCCUGGUAGUCCACGCCGUAAACGAUGUCUACUUGGAGGUUGUGCCCUUGAGGCGUGGCUUCCGGAGCUAACGCGUUAAGUAGACCGCCUGGGGAGUACGGCCGCAAGGUUAAAACUCAAAUGAAUUGACGGGGGCCCGCACAAGCGGUGGAGCAUGUGGUUUAAUUCGAUGCAACGCGAAGAACCUUACCUGGUCUUGACAUCCACAGAACUUUCCAGAGAUGGAUUGGUGCCUUCGGGAACUGUGAGACAGGUGCUGCAUGGCUGUCGUCAGCUCGUGUUGUGAAAUGUUGGGUUAAGUCCCGCAACGAGCGCAACCCUUAUCCUUUGUUGCCAGCGGUUAGGCCGGGAACUCAAAGGAGACUGCCAGUGAUAAACUGGAGGAAGGUGGGGAUGACGUCAAGUCAUCAUGGCCCUUACGACCAGGGCUACACACGUGCUACAAUGGCGCAUACAAAGAGAAGCGACCUCGCGAGAGCAAGCGGACCUCAUAAAGUGCGUCGUAGUCCGGAUUGGAGUCUGCAACUCGACUCCAUGAAGUCGGAAUCGCUAGUAAUCGUGGAUCAGAAUGCCACGGUGAAUACGUUCCCGGGCCUUGUACACACCGCCCGUCACACCAUGGGAGUGGGUUGCAAAAGAAGUAGGUAGCUUAACCUUCGGGAGGGCGCUUACCACUUUGUGAUUCAUGACUGGGGUGAAGUCGUAACAAGGUAACCGUAGGGGAACCUGCGGUUGGAUCACCUCCUUACCUUAAAGAA
rnacentral:rRNA from 1 species